AUGGGCCUCCCGCUGGGACAAGAAAGAAUUGGAUCCACGGGGGGCUUUGGGAGUUGUUUUGUUGCGGUUGUUAAAUUUGAUUUGAUUCGUUUGGAAUUGGAGGGACGAUUUGCAACUGUAAUCUUGGUGGCGUCUCUCAACAGUAAUUUAUUGGAAGGGGAAAUACCUCAUUUCAUCCACUCCAUUCGGUUCGAUUCACUUUACAAAAAAACAAAAACAGCCGAGGAUCUUUUCCUCAUUUCAAAAAAAAAAAAAACUUGGCAUAAUUGUCACUCCCUUGGUAGGCAGAUGUUUGGCUCUUGGGUGCAUAUGCGUGACUAUAAAAAAGUAAAAAAAAAAAUUUGGCGACAAACACUAUCAAGUGGUAUAUGCGUAUUUUUUUUCCCUAGGAAUACCUGUUAG
rnacentral:rRNA from 1 species